rnacentral:rRNA from 1 species
GAUGAACGCUGGCGGCGUGCCUAAUACAUGCAAGUCGAGCGAAUGGAUUAAGAGCUUGCUCUUAUGAAGUUAGCGGCGGACGGGUGAGUAACACGUGGGUAACCUGCCCAUAAGAGUGGGAUAACUCCGGGAAACCGGGGCUAAUACCGGAUAACAUUUUGAACCGCAUGGUUCGAAAUUGAAAGGCGGCUUCGGCUGUCACUUAUGGAUGGACCCGCGUCGCAUUAGCUAGUUGGUGAGGUAACGGCUCACCAAGGCAACGAGGCGUAGCCGACCUGGGAGGGGGAGCGGCCACACUGGGACUGAGACACGGCCCAGACUCCUACGGGAGGCAGCAGUAGGGAAUCUUCCGCAAUGGACGAAAGUCUGACGGAGCAACGCCGCGUGAGUGAUGAAGGCUUUCGGGUCGUAAAACUCUGUUGUUGGGGAAGAACAAGUGCUAGUUGAAUAAGCUGGCACCUUGACGGUACCUAACCAGAAAGCCACGGCUAACUACGUGCCAGCAGCCGCAGUAA